GCCGUGGUAGCCAAGUUUGGUCAAGGCGCGGGAUUGGAGAUCCCGUUCCCUUUGUGGGAGCGCCGGUUCAAGUCCGGCCCACGGCGCCA
rnacentral:tRNA from 1 species